rnacentral:rRNA from 1 species
GAUGAACGCUGGCGGCGUGCCUAAUACAUGCAAGUCGAGCGAACGGACGAGAAGCUUGCUUUUCUGAUGUUAGCGGCGGACGGGUGAGUAACACGUGGAUAACCUACCUAUAAGACUGGGAUAACUUCGUGAAACCGGAUCUAAUACCGGAUAAUAUUUUGAACCGCAUGGUUCAAAAGUGAAAGACGGUUUUGCUGUCACUUAUAGAUGGAUCCGCGCUGCAUUAGCUAGUUGGUAAGGUAACGGCUUACCAAGGCAACGAUGCAUAGCCGACCUGAGAGGGUGAUCGGCCACACUGGAACUGAGACACGGUCCAGACUCCUACGGGAGGCAGCAGUAGGGAAUCUUCGGCAAUGGGCGAAAGCCUGACCGAGCAACGCCGCGUGGGUGAUGAAGGUCUUCGGAUCGUAAAGCUCUGUUAUUAGGGAAGAAAAGAUGUGUGAGUAACUGUGCACAUCUUGACGGUACCUAAACAAAAAGCAACGGCUAACUUCGUG